rnacentral:rRNA from 1 species
AGAGUUUGAUCCUGGCUCAGGACGAACGCUGGCGGCGUGGAUUAGGCAUGCAAGUCGAACGCGAACGAAAGUCUUCGGAUUUUCAAGUAGAGUGGCGAACGGGUGAGUAACGCGUAGAUAAUCUAUCCAUAAGUGGGGGAUAGCCUCGGGAAACCGAGAUUAAUACCGCAUGUGUUCCUUAAUAUUAAUUAUUUUGGAAUAAAGGUGGCCUCUGUUAACAAGCUAUUGCUUAUGGGUGAGUCUGCGUCCUAUUAGUUAGUUGGUUGGGUAAUGGCUGACCAAGGCGAUGAUAGGUAGGCGGCCUUAACGGGUGGUCGCCCACACUGGGAUUGAGAUACGGCCCAGACUCCUACGGGAGGCAGCAGUCGAGAAUAGUCUACAAUGGACGAAAGUCUGAUAGUGCGACGCCGCGUGGAUGAAGAAGCAUUUCGGUGUGUAAAGUCCUUUUCUUUGUGAGCAAUGCUCUUAAUAUUAACAGUAUUAGGAGAGAGAUAUUAGCAGAGGAAUAAGCUCCGGCUAACUCCGUGCCAGCAGCCGCGGUAAUACGGGGGGAGCGAGCGUUACUCGGAAUCACUGGGCGUAAAGGGUGCGUAGGCGGUCAGAUAAGUUGGGAGUGAAAUCCUAUGGCUUAACCAUAGAACUGCUUCCAAAACUGUUUGACUAGAGUACGGGAGAGGCCAAGGGAAUUCCUGGUGUAGGGGUGAAAUCCGUAGAGAUCAGGAGGAAUGCCGAAAGCGAAGGCGCUUGGCUGGAACGUUACUGACGCUGAGGCACGAAAGCGUGGGGAGCAAACAGGAUUAGAUACCCUGGUAGUCCACGCCCUAAACG